GAUAAACGCUGGCGGCGCACAUAAGACAUGCAAGUCGAACGAACUUAAUCGUUAGUUUACUAAUGAAGCGGUUAGUGGCGGACUGGUGAGUAACACGUAAGCAACCUGCCUAUUAGAGGGGAACAACAGUUAGAAAUGACUGCUAAUACCGCAUAUGCCAUAAGUAUCGCAUGAUACAAGUGGGAAAGGAGCGAUCCGCUAAUAGAUGGGCUUGCGUCUGAUUAGAUAGUUGGUGGGGUAACGGCCUACCAAGUCGACGAUCAGUAGCCGAGUUGAGAGACUCUACGGCCACAUUGGGACUGAGAUACGGCCCAGACUCCUACGGGAGGCAGCAGUCGGGAAUAUUGCGCAAUGGAGGAAACUCUGACGCAGUGACGCCGCGUGCAGGAAGAAGGUUUUCGGAUUGUAAACUGCUUUAGACAGGGAAGAAAAAGACAGUACCUGUAGAAUAAGCUCCGGCUAACUACGUGCCAGCAGCCGCGGUAAUACGUAGGGAGCAAGCGUUAUCCGGAUUUAUUGGGUGUAAAGGGUGCGUAGACGGGAAAAUAAGUUAGUUGUGAAAUCCCCAUGCUUAACAUGGGAACUGCAACUAAAACUGUUUUUCUCGAGUGCUGGAGAGGAAAGUGGAAUUCCUAGUGUAGCGGUGAAAUGCGUAGAUAUUAGGAGGAACACCAGUGGCGAAGGCGACUUUCUGGACAGUAACUGACGUUGAGGCACGAAAGUGUGGGGAGCAAACAGGAUUAGAUACCCUGGUAGUCCACACCGUAAACGA
rnacentral:rRNA from 1 species